rnacentral:pre_miRNA from 1 species
AAAGUACUCCCUCCGACCCAUAUUAAGUGACUCAAAUUUGCUUAAAUAUGGAUGUAUCUAUGCCUAAAAAGCGUCUAGAUACACGUAAUAGAAAGUCACUUAAUAUGAGACGGAGGGAGUAAUAU